rnacentral:rRNA from 1 species
CCUACGGGAGGCAGCAGUGGGGAAUAUUGCACAAUGGGCGAAAGCCUGAUGCAGCGACGCCGCGUGAGGGAUGACGGCCUUCGGGUUGUAAACCUCUUUCAGCAGGGAAGAAGCGCAAGUGACGGUACCUGCAGAAGAAGCACCGGCUAACUACGUGCCAGCAGCCGCGGUAAUACGUAGGGUGCGAGCGUUGUCCGGAAUUAUUGGGCGUAAAGAGCUCGUAGGCGGUCUGUCGCGUCGGAUGUGAAAGCCCGGGGCUUAACCCCGGGUCUGCAUUCGAUACGGGCAGACUAGAGUGUGGUAGGGGAGAUCGGAAUUCCUGGUGUAGCGGUGAAAUGCGCAGAUAUCAGGAGGAACACCGGUGGCGAAGGCGGAUCUCUGGGCCAUUACUGACGCUGAGGAGCGAAAGCGUGGGGAGCGAACAGGAUUAGAUACCCUGGUAGUCCACGCCGUAAACGUUGGGAACUAGGUGUUGGCGACAUUCCACGUCGUCGGUGCCGCAGCUAACGCAUUAAGUUCCCCGCCUGGGGAGUACGGCCGCAAGGCUAAAACUCAAAUGAAUUGACGG